ACGUAAGUUACUGAUGGUCCUUAUACUUGGAUAUCCGUGGUAAUUCUAGAGCUAAUACAUGCGCACAUACCCAACUUUUGGGAAGGGUGGUUUUUUUUAAAAAAUUAACCCCCCCGGGCCCGCCCUGGUACGAUGUGAAUGAAGGGUACCGAACGAAUCGCUUGCUCCGACGCGAUAAAUCAAUUGAGUUUGAGACCUAUCCUCUUUAGAAGGGAGGAUAUGGGCCCACCGUGGCUUUUACGGGUAACAGAAAAUUAGGGUUUUAUUCCAGAGAGGGACCCCGAAAAACCGCCCCCACCUCCAAAGGAGGGAGCGGGCGCGCAUUUUACCCCCUCCUGACACAGGGGGGGUGUGACAAAAAAUAACAAUGAGGGGCUUUUUU
rnacentral:rRNA from 1 species